UACGGGGGGAGCAAGCGUUGUUCGGAUUUACUGGGCGUAAAGGGCGCGUAGGCGGCCACCGCAAGUCGACUGUGAAAUCUCCGGGCUUAACUCGGAAAGGUCAGCCGAUACUGCGGGGCUAGAGUGCAGAAGGGGCAACUGGAAUUCUCGGUGUAGCGGUGAAAUGCGUAGAUAUGUGGAGGAAUACCGAUGGCGAACGGCAGCCCCCUGGGAUAACACUCGACGCUCAUGCACGG
rnacentral:rRNA from 1 species